UACGUAGGGUCCGAGCGUUGUCCGGAAUUAUUGGGCGUAAAGGGCGCGUAGGCGGUUCGUACAGUCAGACGUGAAAUUCCUGGGCUCAACCUGGGGGCUGCGUUUGAUACGUGCGGGCUUGAGUUCGGAAGAGGGUCGUGGAAUUCCCAGUGUAGAGGUGAAAUUCGUAGAUAUUGGGAAGAACACCGGUGGCGAAGGCGGAUCUCUGGGCCGUAACUGACGCUGAGGAGCGAAAGCAUGGGGAGCGAACAGG
rnacentral:rRNA from 1 species